rnacentral:snoRNA from 2 species
UCCCUCUCAGGGUCGCAGCUGGAGAGUUUCCAGUACUCUACCAGUCUCAACGAUGGGAGGGAGAGUCAGGCAGAGGCCUACCCACUCCAUUCCUAGCUUGGCCAGUGGCAAGUGAGUGGAAGGCAAUCAGCUACAAGC